GGCGGGUUAGCAAAGUGGUUAUGCAGCGGAUUGCAAAUCCGUAGACAUCGGUUCGAUUCCGGUACCCGCCUCCA
rnacentral:tRNA from 1 species